GCUAGGAGGCUAGGUUCAGGACUGUUGCUGCUUCUGCAGGCUAGGAGGCUAGGUUCAGGACUGUCGCUGCCACUAGUUGUUCUGCAGGCUAGGAGGCUAGGUUCAGGACUGUCGCUGCCACUAGUUGUUCUGCAGGCUAGGAGGCUAGGUUCAGGACUGUCGCUGCCACUAGUUGUUCUGCAGGCUAGGAGGCUAGGUUCAGGACUGUCGCUGCCACUAGUUGUUCUGCAGGCUAGGAGGCUAGGUUCAGGACUGUCGCUGCCACUAGUUGUUCUGCAGGCUAGGAGGCUAGGUUCAGGACUGUCGCUGCCACUAGAUUAGGUUGUUCUGCAGGCUAGGAGGCUAGGUUCAGGACUGUUGCUGCCACUAGAUUAGGUUGUUCUGCAGGCUAGGAGGCUAGGUUCAGGACUGUCGCUGCCACUAGAUUAGGUUGUUCUGCAGGCUAGGAGGCUAGGUUCAGGACUGUUGCUGCCACUAGAUUAGGUUGUUCUGCAGGCUAGGAGGCUAGGUUCAGGACUGUCGCUGCCACUAGAUUAGGUUGUUCUGCAGGCUAGGAGGCUAGGUUCAGGACUGUUGCUGCCACUAGAUUAGGUUGUUCUGCAGGCUAGGAGGCUAGGUUCAGGACUGUCGCUGCCACUAGAUUAGGUUGUUCUGCAGGCUAGGAGGCUAGGUUCAGGACUGUUGCUGCCACUAGAUUAGGUUGUUCUGCAGGCUAGGAGGCUAGGUUCAGGACUGUUGCUGCCACUAGAUUAGGUUGUUCUGCAGGCUAGGAGGCUAGGUUCAGGACUGUCGCUGCCACUAGAUUAGGUUGUUCUGCAGGCUAGGAGGCUAGGUUCAGGACUGUUGCUGCCACUAGAUUAGGUUGUUCUGCAGGCUAGGAGGCUAGGUUCAGGACUGUCGCUGCCACUAGAUUAGGUUGUUCUGCAGACUAGGAGGCUAGGUUCAGGACUGUUGCUGCCACUAGAUUAGGUUGUUCUGCAGGCUAGGAGGCUAGGUUCAGGACUGUUGCUGCCACUAGAUUAGGUUGUUCUGCAGGCUAGGAGGCUAGGUUCAGGACUGUCGCUGCCACUAGAUUAGGUUGUUCUGCAGGCUAGGAGGCUAGGUUCAGGACUGUUGCUGCCACUAGUUGUUCUGCAGGCUAGGAGGCUAGGUUCAGGACUGUCGCUGCCACUAGAUUAGGUUGUUCUGCAGGCUAGGCUUAGGUUCAGGACUGUUGCUGCCACUAGAUUAGGUUGUUCUGCAGGCUAGGAGGCUAGGUUCAGGACUGUCGCUGCCACUAGAUUAGGUUGUUCUGCAGGCUAGGAGGCUAGGUUCAGGACUGUUGCUGCCACUAGAUUAGGUUGUUCUGCAGGCUAGGAGGCUAGGUUCAGGACUGUCGCUGCUUCUGCAGGCUAGGAGGCUAGGUUCAGGACUGUUGCUGCUUCUGCAGGCUAGGAGGCUAGGUUCAGGACUGUCGCUGCCACUAGUUGUUCUGCAGGCUAGGAGGCUAGGUUCAGGACUGUCGCUGCCACUAGUUGUUCUGCAGGCUAGGAGGCUAGGUUCAGGACUGUCGCUGCCACUAGUUGUUCUGCAGGCUAGGAGGCUAGGUUCAGGACUGUCGCUGCCACUAGAUUAGGUUGUUCUGCAGGCUAGGAGGCUAGGUUCAGGACUGUUGCUGCCACUAGAUUAGGUUGUUCUGCAGGCUAGGAGGCUAGGUUCAGGACUGUUGCUGCUUCUGCAGGCUAGGAGGCUAGGUUCAGGACUGUCGCUGCCACUAGUUGUUCUGCAGGCUAGGAGGCUAGGUUCAGGACUGUCGCUGCCACUAGUUGUUCUGCAGGCUAGGAGGCUAGGUUAAGGACUGUCGCUGCCACUAGAUUAGGUUGUUCUGCAGGCUAGGAGGCUAGGUUCAGGACUGUUGCUGCCACUAGAUUAGGUUGUUCUGCAGGCUAGGAGGCUAGGUUCAGGACUGUCGCUGCCACUAGAUUAGGUUGUUCUGCAGGCUAGGAGGCUAGGUUCAGGACUGUUGCUGCCACUAGAUUAGGUUGUUCUGCAGGCUAGGAGGCUAGGUUCAGGACUGUCGCUGCCACUAGAUUAGGUUGUUCUGCAGGCUAGGCUUAGGUUCAGGACUGUUGCUGCCACUAGAUUAGGUUGUUCUGCAGGCUAGGAGGCUAGGUUCAGGACUGUCGCUGCCACUAGAUUAGGUUGUUCUGCAGGCUAGGAGGCUAGGUUCAGGACUGUUGCUGCCACUAGAUUAGGUUGUUCUGCAGGCUAGGAGGCUAGGUUCAGGACUGUCGCUGCUUCUGCAGGCUAGGAGGCUAGGUUCAGGACUGUUGCUGCUUCUGCAGGCUAGGAGGCUAGGUUCAGGACUGUCGCUGCCACUAGUUGUUCUGCAGGCUAGGAGGCUAGGUUCAGGACUGUCGCUGCCACUAGUUGUUCUGCAGGCUAGGAGGCUAGGUUCAGGACUGUCGCUGCCACUAGUUGUUCUGCAGGCUAGGAGGCUAGGUUCAGGACUGUCGCUGCCACUAGAUUAGGUUGUUCUGCAGGCUAGGAGGCUAGGUUCAGGACUGUUGCUGCCACUAGAUUAGGUUGUUCUGCAGGCUAGGAGGCUAGGUUCAGGACUGUCGCUGCCACUAGUUGUUCUGCAGGCUAGGAGGCUAGGUUCAGGACUGUCGCUGCCACUAGUUGUUCUGCAGGCUAGGAGGCUAGGUUCAGGACUGUCGCUGCCACUAGUUGUUCUGCAGGCUAGGAGGCUAGGUUCAGGACUGUCGCUGCCACUAGAUUAGGUUGUUCUGCAGGCUAGGAGGCUAGGUUCAGGACUGUUGCUGCCACUAGAUUAGGUUGUUCUGCAGGCUAGGAGGCUAGGUUCAGGACUGUUGCUGCCACUAGAUUAGGUUGUUCUGCAGGCUAGGAGGCUAGGUUCAGGACUGUCGCUGCCACUAGAUUAGGUUGUUCUGCAGGCUAGGAGGCUAGGUUCAGGACUGUUGCUGCCACUAGAUUAGGUUGUUCUGCAGGCUAGGAGGCUAGGUUCAGGACUGUCGCUGCCACUAGAUUAGGUUGUUCUGCAGACUAGGAGGCUAGGUUCAGGACUGUUGCUGCCACUAGAUUAGGUUGUUCUGCAGGCUAGGAGGCUAGGUUCAGGACUGUUGCUGCCACUAGAUUAGGUUGUUCUGCAGGCUAGGAGGCUAGGUUCAGGACUGUCGCUGCCACUAGAUUAGGUUGUUC